rnacentral:rRNA from 1 species
CCGGUUGUUCGUUCCGUCCGACCGUGGUGAAAGUGUUUUAAAUCUUUCACCAAUCCGAGGGCUUGUCCUUCUCUACUCUUUUAAAUACCUUUUCUUCCGACCAACUUUGUUUCAAACUCUUGACAAAGACUUAACCGCGAACUACUCUGAACUGUGUGAUCCUGAGCAAAGACUUUGACCCAUUAACAUUGGCCCAGGCCUAUUGAUUGGAUUCCUCAUUGUAGUAAGCCUUUUCUAGAUUGCCUGACUAUUCACUUGUUGGUGCUGCUUAAUUUUGUAUAACCUUGUCUUUCCCUCCCUUUUUAAAUUGCUAGAGUGCCAUUUUGCUCACACUUCAUUUUGAGCUUAGAAUUCAUUGGGUGUGGUGUAGUGUAUUAAGAUUGGGAUUUUUCUGUUGCUUUACUUUAGUGAACGAUUUUACAACUGAUGUGUAAAUAAAUGUAUAUUCUUUUACUCAGAAACCUUGAGUCAGUGUUUGCUUGAACCAUAGUCAUUGCUGUCCUUUGAGUAACUUCUGAUACUGCUCACUUUACUCUUGAGAUUACUGACACUUGUAGUCUUAAUUGUAUGUGGUGUUCCCAAAGGGUAAUGCAUAUGAUUCUGCCUAACAUAAGGUGAUGUUGGUUACCCACUCGACCCAUCUUGAAACACGGACCAAGGAGUUUAACACAUGCGCGAGUGGUAGGGGCGAACAAAACCCUGUGGCUCAAUGAAGGGAAGGGCCUGCGCGUGCCAGCUCGGGUGGGAUCCAGUCGCAGUGGACGCACCACUGGCCCGUCUUGCUCGCUCUGUCAGGGAGGUGGAGCAUGAGCGUGUCUGAUAGGACCCGAAAGAUGGUGAACUAGGCCUGGGCAGGGCGAAGCCAGAGGAAACUCUGGUGGAGUAUGUAGCGGUCUUGACGUGCAAAUCGGUUGUCUGACCUGGGUAUAGGGGCGAAAGCCUAAUCGAACCAUCUAGUAGCUGGUUCCCUCUGAAGUUUCCCUCAGGACACCUGGCGCAUGGAAACCCCAGUUUUAUCUGAUAAAGCGAAUGAUUAGAGGUCUUGGGGCCGAAAUGAUCUCAACCUAUUCUCAAACUUUAAAUGGGCACGAAGCCCGGCUCGCUGGCGUGGACCCUGAUAUCGAAUACAAGUGCCCAGUGCGACACUUUUGAUAAGCAGAACUGACAGUGUGGGAUGAACCAAAUGCUGGGUUAAGGCCCCCGAUGCCGACGCUCAUCAGACCCAAGAAAAGGUGUUGGUUGAUAUAGACAGCAGGAUGGUGGCCAUGGAAGUAGGAAUCCGCUAAGGAGUGUGUAACAACUCGCCUGCCGAAUCAACUAGCCCUGAAAAUGGAUGGCGCUGGAGGUUCUGGUGCUGAGAGCCGUGGGGGCUAAGUCACGAUGAGUAGGAGGGCCACUGCGGUGCGCAUGGAAACUCGGGGCGAGGGCCCGGAUGGAGCCGCUGCAUGUGCAGAUCUUGGUUGUAGUAGCAAAUAUUCAAACGAGAACUUUGAAGGCCGAUGUGGAGAAGGGUUCCAUCUGAACAGCAGUUGAACAUCGGUCAGUCAGUCCUAAGAAAUGGUCGAGCACCGUUCGGAAGGGACGGGCAAUCACAUCCGUCACCCUCAGCCGAUCAAAAGGGAGUCGGGUUCAGAUCCCCGGAGCGGCAGAGACGGACGCCCUUGUGGCGUCCAGUGCGGUAAUGCAAACUAUACCAAAGAAGCUGGUAGGAUCCCUGGGGAGAGUUCUGUUUUCUUUGUGAAGGGCAGAGCACCCUGGAAUGGGUUCGCCCCGAGAGAGGGGCCCGAGCCUUGGAAAGCAUUGCAAUUCCGGCGGCGUCCGGUGAGCUCUCACUUGUCCUUGAAAAUCCAGGGGAGAUGGUGUAAAUCUCACGCCGGGCCGUACCCAUAUCCGCAGCAGUUCUGCAAGGUGAACAGCCUCUGGCAUGUUGGAACAAUGUAGGUAAGGGAAGUCGGCAAGUCGGAUCUGUAAUUUCGGUAAGGGCUGGGUUGGUCUGGCUGGGGUGCAAAGUGGGGCUGGCCAUGCAUCGCGGCUGGAUGAGGCAUCUCCCCCCCCGGGGACAGUGCUGACUCUGGGUGCGAGUCGGGCCCCUUCCUGUGGAUCGCUCUAGCUGAGGUGGUCGCCUCUCUCCAUUCCCCUUCCGGGACCAGCUUUCUGCCUCUGCCGAUGCCUAGCAGCUGACUUAGAACUGGUGCGGACCAGGGGAAUCCGACCUUUAAAUUAAAACAAAGCAUCUCGUAAGGCUCUGAAUUUCACUGACUCUGCCCAGUGCUCUGAAUUUCAAAGUGAAGAAAUUCAAUGAAGCACAGGUAAACGUUGAGAGUAACUAUGACUAUCUUAAAGUAGCCAAAUGCCUCGUCAUCUAAUUAGUGACACGCAAGAAUGGAGGAACGAGAUUCUCAAUGUUCCUACCUACUAUCUGGCGAAACCACAGCCAAGGGAACAGGCUUGGCAGAGUCAUCUGAAUUCCCUCUAGUCUGCCACUUUGAAGAGACAUGAGAGGUGUAGGAUAAGUGGAAGGCCCUUGGGCCACCGGUGAAAUACCACUACUCAUCGUUUUUUCACUUACCCAGUGAGCCAGGUGGAAGGGGAGGUGAGCACUGUGGGACUCUCGCUUCUGGCUCUAAGCGCCCGUCACUCGCCGGGCACGACCCACUCUGGCGACAUUGGCAGGUGGAGAGUUUGGCUGUGGCGGUACACCUGGCAAACCAUAACGCAGGUGAACUAAAGCAAGUUCAGGUAGCAUAGAAACCUCCCGCGGAGCAGAAAAGCAAAAGCUUGCUUGAUCUCGAUUUUCAGUAUUAAUACAUACCGUGAAAGCAGGGCCUCAGGAUCCUUCUGACUUUUUGGGUUUCAAGCAGGUGGUGUCAGACAACUUACCACAGGGAUAACUGGCUUGUGGCGGCCAAGCGUUCAUAGCAAUUUCGCUUUUUGAUCCCUUGAUGUCGGCUCUACCUAUCAUUGUGAAGCAGAAUUCACCAAGCGUUGGAUUGUUCACCCACUAAUAGGAAACAUGAGCUGGGUUUAUACCGUCGUGAGACAGGUUAGUUUUACCCUACUGAUGAUGUGUGUUGCAAUAGUAAUCCUGCUCAGUACAAGAGGAACAGCAGGUUCAGAUAGUUGGUGUAUGUGCUUGGCUGAGGAGCCAGUGGGAUAAAGCUACCAUCUGUCAGAUUAUGACGGAAUGCCUCCAACUCAGAAUCCCCCUAACCGUAACGGUACCACAGCACUGUGGAGCCUCGUUUGGCCUAGGAUAGCUGGCCUCUGGGAUGGUGCAUCGAGCUGCUUGCCUCGGGACUCAAGUGUGAACAGAAGGGGGUCACCUCUUUCACCUGUAGUGCACCACAUGUUU